CAGGGAGACAACAAAAUGUUUAAUAUUAUUAUUUUGUCACCUUAGGUCGAUCGGUAUCUCACGUUCUUAAAUUGUUUAAGAAUUUCAUUUCCUAAGUUUUUCUAGGUCACACCCAUUAUUUUUCCUGGGCCAUUAGCUCAGGUGGUUAGAGCGCACCCCUGAUAAGGGUGAGGUCCCUGGUUCAAGUCCAGGAUGGCCCAUAUCUCUAUGUUGGGGGUAUAGCUCAGUUGGUAGAGCGCCUGCUUUGCAAGCAGGAUGUCAGCGGUUCGAGUCCGCUUACCUCCACUGAUUACCACCUCUUCCAUAACCGGUAGUAAGGAAAUGUUUUGAGUUGUGAUCAUUAUUCUGAGCGAAUCUAGCUUCCUAAUGAAAUCAUUAAGAUGCUGGACUCAUUGAAUUAAAUUCAUUGUUUUCAGAGAACCUUGACAACUGCAUAGAUUAUUUUUAAAGACAAUAAGCAUCUUUAAUGAUGCAGAUUUAUUAUUUGUGCGAAUGCAUUAAUAACAAUUCUAUUAAGCUGAUGCUUCAAUUUUUGAAGUUAUU
rnacentral:tRNA from 1 species